UUCAUUCAAAUUUCUGCCCUAUCAACUUUCGAUGGUAGGAUAGUGGCCUACCAUGGUUUCAACGGGUAACGGGGAAUAAGGGUUCGAUUCCGGAGAGGGAGCCUGAGAAACGGCUACCACAUCCAAGGAAGGCAGCAGGCGCGCAAAUUACCCAAUCCCGACACGGGGAGGUAGUGACAAUAAAUAACGAUACAGGGCCCUUUCGGGUCUUGUAAUUGGAAUGAGUACAAUGUAAAUACCUUAACGAGGAACAAUUGGAGGGCAAGUCUGGUGCCAGCAGCCGCGGUAAUUCCAGCUCCAAAAGCGUAUAUUAAAGUUGUUGCAGUUAAAAAGCUCGUAGUUGAACCUUGGGCUUGGCUGGCCGGUCCAUCUUUUUUGAUGCGUACUGGACCCAGCCGAGCCUUUCCUUCUGGCUAGCCUUUUUGGCGAACCAGGACUUUUACUUUGAAAAAAUUAGAGUGUUCAAAGCAGGCCUUUGCUCGAAUAUAUUAGCAUGGAAUAAUAGAAUAGGACGUUAUGGUUCUAUUUUGUUGGUUUCUAGGACCAUCGUGAUGAUUAAUAGGGAC
rnacentral:rRNA from 1 species